rnacentral:snRNA from 1 species
CGAGCUGCUUCCGCGGCG